rnacentral:rRNA from 1 species
UACAGAGGUCUCAACCGUUGUUCGGAUUCAUUGGGCGUAAAGGGUGCGUAGGCGGUCGCGCAAGUCGGAUGUGAAAUCUCAGGGCUCAACCCUGAAACUGCAUUCGAUACUGCGUGGCUAGAGUGCUGGAGAGGAGACUGGAAUUUACGGUGUAGCAGUGAAAUGCGUAGAUAUGCGGAGGAACACCGAUGGCGAAGGCAAUCCCCUGGACCUGUACUGACGCUCAUGCACGAAAGCGUGGGGAGCAAACAGG